CAUUCUUGUCGAUAAUUCCUAAGUUUGUCUUGAACAAUAAAUGUGUGAACUUUGCUUUUAAAAAAGCACCAGAAAGUAUUAUUGAAAAUACACUUUCAUUUAUUCACAACUUGUCGAAGUAAUCAGUUAGUGUUGUAAAUUUGAUUGUUCAUCCAUCAAAUCUAAAAACAUAAACAUUUAUAAACAGAUACUUUAUAUAGGCCGUUACUUCCAGGAGCGAUGUUCGUUUAAGCAUUCAGCUUACAUGUUAUAAACAUACAGAAAUAGUCUUCAUUUGUUUUGUUGUAAUUUACAAAUACUUUCAUUCAGGGGCAUAAUUAGGGUCUCACCAGUUUUUCUCUUUAGUAAAGACAAAUUGUUAGACAACAGAUGUACUGCGGCCUAUUUUAUACAUGCAAAGUCGAUUACAAUUAAAAAUUCGCUACAGAGAUCAAAUUACAACAGCAUAGACACAUACAUUUACUAAUUACAAAACAAAGAAAGUGGAAAUAAAAACAAUAGGUAGGGCUACAGUUUUUUUCCUCUCAGCAUUCACCUUUUGGAGGAUUUGGGAGUGUCACAUAGGAAUAUACCACUGAGUGGGCAAUGGGGCAGUUGGGGUGGUCUUCAAGUUAGUUUUCCUUCCCUUUUCCUUUCUUCUUCUCGCCUCCCUUGGGUUUGGACACUUUAAUGGUGGUCUGGCAUUCAGCAUUGAACAGUGCCUUCUUCAGUGUCCCAGACCUGCUUCUGGUUCCUGUAGUAGUGUCACAUUCGGCCCAGCGACCAAACUUGUACUUGCAGUCAGCUAAAAACCAAGGACAAACUAGAAUGAAUGGCCUGUCUAAAUAUGUUUUUCUUUGAUUCACAUCCAGACAUGCAUUCAGUGUAUUCAUACAUGGUAAAACUCCUUACCGCCAAAGUCUUUCUUCCAGUUGCAUGGGACUUUGCACUUGGUUUUCUUUGUCUGUUCGUUGCAGGUCGCCUCCCGAAUGCCAGCGCCGCAAUCGCCGCUGUUGGGCACGCAUUUCCCAUACUGCCAUUCACUGCACUCAGCAUCUGCUUUGGGCUCUUUGCCCUUUUCUGUCACAAAAUAGAGAAUGAUUAUUAAUUAUAUCACACCAAAGGAAUGUGCAUUGCAUCAUUUUAAGUAAAAAAAAAAAAAGAACCUUUUUUCUUCAUACUGGCUUCCACGGUGAUCAUCAACACCACCAGCAGCACAAGCGCUAUAGAGAAUAAAUUCCGCAUUCUGGGAAAAAAAUACAGCUGGCAUUAAUUUUAGUUCAAUUAUGUAGAUGCACAAUGUGAAGCAGACUUAUUAUUAUUAUUAUAAAUUAUUUGUUAAUAUUUUGAAUUAGCUUUUGCUUGGAAUGUGCUUUUGUCAUUUAUAUUAUUUUUUAU
ensembl:lncRNA